GGAAUCUUCCACAAUGGGCGCAAGCCUGAUGGAGCAACACCGCGUGAGUGAAGAAGGGUUUCGGCUCGUAAAGCUCUGUUGUUAAAGAAGAACAUGUAUGAGAGUAACUGUUCAUACGUUGACGGUAUUUAACCAGAAAGUCACGGCUAACUACGUGCCAG
rnacentral:rRNA from 1 species